rnacentral:rRNA from 1 species
UACCUGCAGCUCAAGUGGUGAUCAUUAUUACUGGGCCUAAAACGUCCGUAGCCGGUUUAGUAAAUGCCUGGGUAAAUCGUGUAGCUUAACUAUACGACUUCCGGGUAGACUACUAAACUUGGGACCGGGAGAGGCUAGAGGUACUCCUGGGGUAGAGGUGAAAUUCUGUAAUCCUAGGGGGACCACCAGUGGCGAAGGCGUCUAGCUAGAACGGGUCUGACGGUGAGGGACGAAGCCCUGGGGCACAAACCGGAUUAGAUACCCGGGUAGUCCAGGGUGUAAACGCUGCUUGCUUGAUGUUAGUUGGGCUCCGAGCCCAACUAGUGUCCGGAGAGAAGUUGUUAAGCCCACCGCCUGGGAAGUACGGUCGCAAGGCUGAACUUAAAGGAAUUGGCGGGGGAGCACAGCAACGGGAGGAGCGUGCGGUUU